rnacentral:rRNA from 1 species
AGGGUGUAAACGCUGCAGACUUGGUGUUGGAGGCCCUUUGGGGGCAUUCAGUGCCGGAGAGAAGUUGUUAAGUCUGCUACUUGGGGAGUACGUCCGCAAGGAUGAAACUUAAAGGAAUUGGCGGGGGAGCACCGCAACGGGAGGAGCGUGCGGUUUAAUUGGAUUCAACGCCGAAAAACUCACCAGCAGCGACUGUUACAUGAAAGUCAGGUUGAUGACCUUACUAGAUUUUCAGAGAGGUGGUGCAUGGCGUCAGUGACU